UACGUAGGGUGCAAGCGUUGUCCGGAAUUAUUGGCGUAAAGAGCGUGUAGGCGGCCCGAUUAGUCCGCUGUGAAAGUCCAGGGCUCAACCCUGGAAUGCCGGUGGAUACUGUCGGGCUAGAGUCCGGAAGGGCGAGUGGAAUUCCUGGUGUAGCGGUGAAAUGCGUAGAUAUCAAGAGGAACACCUGCGGCGAAGGCGGGUUGCUGGGCCGACACUGACGCUGAAGCGCGAAAGCUAGGGGAGCGAACGGG
rnacentral:rRNA from 1 species